rnacentral:tRNA from 1 species
UCCUGGGUGGUACAUAUGGUUAAUGUGCUUGGCUGCCAACUAAAGGUUGGUGGUUUGAGUCCACCCACAGGUA